GGGGAAUAUUGGACAAUGGGCGAAAGCCUGAUCCAGCAAUGCCGCGUGAGUGAUGAAGGCCUUCGGGUUGUAAAGCUCUGUCGGGAGGGACGAAAAAGCGGAAUAAUAACCCGCAUUGACGGUACCUUCAAAGGAAGCACCGGCUAACUCUGUGCCAGCAGCCGCGGUAAUACAGAGGGUGCAAGCGUUGUUCGGAAUUACUGGGCGUAAAGCGCGUGUAGGUUGUUUCGUAAGUCUGAUGGGAAAUCCCUCGGCUUAACCGAGGACGUGCAUUCGAUACUGCGGGACUAGAGUACUGGAGGGGAUGGUGGAAUUCCCGGUGUAGAGGUGAAAUUCGUAGAGAUCUGGAGGAAUACCGGUGGCGAAGGCGGCCCCCUGGACGAAGACUGACGCUCAGGUGCGAAAGCGUGGGGAGCAAAC
rnacentral:rRNA from 1 species